rnacentral:sRNA from 1 species
GACUGGAUGGGGGCGGCGGGCGUGGCAUGCAUGAAAAGUAAACAUCAGAGACCUGAAGAAGCUUAUAAAAUAGCUUGGGAGAGGCCAGUCACCAAGACAGGCAUCUCAAAUCGGCUGAUUCUGCAUCUGGAAACUGCCUUCAUCUUGAAAGAAAAGCUCCAGGUCCCUUCUCCAGCCACCCAGCCCCAAGAUGGUGAUGCUGCUGCUGCUGUUUUCCGCACUGGCUGGCCUCUUCGGUGCGGCGGAGGGACAAGCAUUUCAUCUUGGGAAGUGCCCCAAGCCUCCGGUGCAGGAGAAUUUUGACGUGAAUAAGUAUCUCGGAAGAUGGUACGAAAUUGAGAAGAUCCCAACAACCUUUGAGAAUGGACGCUGCAUCCAGGCCAACUACUCACUAAUGGAAAACGGAAAGAUCAAAGUGUUAAACCAGGAGUUGAGAGCUGAUGGAACUGUGAAUCAAAUUGAAGGUGAAGCCACCCCAGUUAACCUCACAGAGCCUGCCAAGCUGGAAGUUAAGUUUUCCUGGUGUAAGUAUCCACUUUUCCCAGGAGGAUUCAGGGACAGGAAAUAUGCAAACUGAAGGCUAGCGCCCCGGCUUGGAGAAUUCCUGAGACACCUGAGUGUCAUCUAUAAUCACUCAGCACAUAAUUAUCUGUCAAACACUUACUACAUGUCAUGCACUAGGGUUGCCAUGAUGAGCCGGACAGAGCUGGCCUUGGUACUUAUGGAGCUCACAUCCCAGUGUGGAUACUGACACGUGACCCCGCAAUUUACUAUAACUAGCUAGCGUUUCAACAGGUGAAACAUAAGUAGGUGCACACAGGGUGUGGGCUGCAGAAGACACAACCCAGUCUUGUUUCCCAAAGGAAACUGGGGCCCGAAACAUUAGCACAUAUUAGCAGAACAACCUGCACGGCGCAGAAACUAGGAAGCAAGAGAUGACAAGAGUGACGGCAAGUUUGAAUCCUGCUUCUGCCACUUUCCAGUCACAUUGUUGGGGAUCCUGUGAGAUACCUAAUGACAGGCAUUUGCCUCUGGGUUCUGAGCUAACUGAGGAAGGGACACAGGCAAUAGACAAAGCACCAAAUAUUAGUUUUAUUUCCGACGAAGAUACACUAGAGAGUUCAACCCAGAACCGUGAGGCUUUCUAACACGAAGAGUGCUUGAAAGCCCCUUUCCCACCUGCAGGGUAGACACUGAAGUCAUCAGCUAC